rnacentral:lncRNA from 1 species
GCAGAGUGGGAAAAGAAAAAUCAAAAAGAUGAAGGGUGAAUGAGAGCAGAAAUUCGGCAGCAAUGAAGAGAAAAACGUCAGGACGGUGGAGGGAUUUUGGGAAAAGUAAAAAAAAGAAAAAUAAAAGAUGAACAGAAUAUUAGAUAACGACUCUAAUCCCUUAUUUCUCUCCAUCAAACUCCCACUAAAUCCACAACUCAGAUUUUUAGUCCAUCUUAAACUCUCCUGGACGCACGAGCAAAAAUAAUGCC